rnacentral:misc_RNA from 1 species
UUUCCGUAGGUGAACCUACGGAAGGAUCAUUAUAAAUGAAAAACGAAUAACUUCAGGGGAGAAGGGAACCUGCACGGUGACCUCCCCUGUCGGGCCACCCAAUACCUUCAAAAUGCCGCCGUCCUAGCGGUGGCAGACGAAAAAAAAACAAGAAAAACAAAAUAGAAACAGGCACGGUGGCCCGUUCACCUUCACACAACCCUCCGAGUACCGCUUCCAUGUUGCUUCCCCGCAAAUCCACCUCUUUGGUGAGCGCGGGGGAGGUCCGCAUCGAAUUCACCUGAAUGUCACAACAGUCAGACAGCCAUUCAUGGAAACAAUAAAACUUUCAACAACGGAUCUCUUGGUUCCC